rnacentral:rRNA from 1 species
UACAGAGGUCUCAAGCGUUGUUCGGAUUCAUUGGGCGUAAAGGGUGCGUAGGCGGCGCGGUCAGUCGGGUGUGAAAUCUUGGAGCUUAACUCCGAAACUGCAUUCGAUACUGCCGUGCUUGAGGACUGGAGAGGAGACUGGAAUUUACGGUGUAGCGGUGAAAUGCGUAGAUAUCGUAAGGAAGACCAGUGGCGAAGGCGGGUCUCUGGACAGUUCCUGACGCUGAGGCACGAAGGUCAGGGGAGCAAACGGG